rnacentral:rRNA from 1 species
UACGAAGGGGGCUAGCGUUGCUCGGAAUUACUGGGCGUAAAGGGCGCGUAGGCGGGUGUUUAAGUCAGAGGUCAAAUCCCAGGGCUCAACCCUGGAACUGCCUUUGAUACUGGGCACCUAGAGUUCGGGAGAGGUGUGUGGAACUCCGAGUGUAGAGGUGAAAUUCGUAGAUAUUCGGAAGAACACCAGUGGCGAAGGCGACACACUGGCCCGAUACUGACGCUGAGGCGCGAAAGCGUGGGGAGCAAACAGG